CUCCUGUCUCAGCCUCCUGAGUAGCUGGGAUUACAGGUGCACACCAUCAUGCCUGGCUAAUUUUUGUAUUUUUAGUAGAGACAGGGUUUCACCAUGUUGGCCAGGGUGAUCUCGAACUCCUGAUCUCAGGUGAUCCGCCCAUCUCAGCAUCUCAAAGUGCUGGGAUUACAGGCCUGAGCCACCGCGCCUGGCCUCUAAACUCUCUUAUAACCUAACUCAGCCACAGCCCUCAUUCCAGGACAUUCCAAGGCCCCACCGACCACCUGUCCUCU
rnacentral:lncRNA from 10 species